rnacentral:rRNA from 1 species
AUGCCGCGGUGAAUACGUUCCCGGGCCUUGUACACACCGCCCGUCACACCAUGAGAGUCGGGGACACCCGAAGCCUGUAGCAUAACCGCGAGGGGUGCGCAGUCGAAGGUGGAUUCGAUGAUUGGGGUGAAGUCGUAACAAGGUACC